GACAGAGGAUGCAAGCGUUAUCCGGAAUGAUUGGGCGUAAAGCGUCUGUAGGUGGCUUUUUAAGUCCGCCGUCAAAUCCCAGGGCUCAACCCUGGACAGGCGGUGGAAACUACCAAGCUGGAGUACGGUAGGGGCAGAGGGAAUUUCCGGUGGAGCGGUGGAAUGCGUAGAGAUCCGGAAGAACACCAGUGGCGAAGGCGGCCCGCUGGGCAGUGGCUGACGCUGAGGCGCGACAGCGUGGGGAGCAAACAGG
rnacentral:rRNA from 1 species